GGUGCCGUGGCAUAACCGGGGCUAUGCGCAAGACUGAUAUCUACUUCUAAUAUCUAUCUUGUUUCCUAGGGAGCGUCCGUUCGAAUCGGACCGGCAUCG